rnacentral:pre_miRNA from 1 species
GUGGGCAUCUUAUCGGACAGUGCUGGAUUUCUCGGCUUGACUCUAACACUGUCUGGUAACGAUGUUCAA